rnacentral:rRNA from 1 species
UGUGGUUAUAAUAGCAGAGAAGAUACACCUGUUUCCAUUCCGAACACAGAAGUUAAGUUCUCUAGCGCUGAUGGUACUUGGUGGGAAAUUGCCUGGGAGAGUAGGGCAUAGCCACGU